GACGAACGCUGGCGGCGUGCUUAACACAUGCAAGUCGAACGGAAAGGCCCUGCUUGCAGGGUCCUCGAGUGGCGAACGGGUGAGUAACACGUGGGUGAUCUGCCCUGCACUUCGGGAUAAGCCUGGGAAACUGGGUCUAAUACCGGAUAGGAGCCAUUUUUAGUGUGAUGGUUGGAAAGUUUUUUCGGUGUAGGAUGAGCUCGCGGCCUAUCAGCUUGUUGGUGGGGUAAUGGCCUACCAAGGCGGCGACGGGUAGCCGGCCUGAGAGGGUGGACGGCCACAUUGGGACUGAGAUACGGCCCAGACUCCGACGGGAGGCAGCAGUGGGGAAUAUUGCACAAUGGGCGCAAGCCUGAUGCAGCGACGCCGCGUGGGGGAUGACGGCCUUCGGGUUGUAAACUCCUGUCGCUAGGGACGAAGCUUUUUGUGACGGUACCUAGAUAAGAAGCACCGGCUAACUACGUG
rnacentral:rRNA from 1 species